AGCCAAGGAUCCCCCAGCGCUGGGCCGGGCGCGGUCUGAGGGCCCCGCGCAUUCGAAAGGAGGGGCUGUCUCCCAGAGGAGCUGGCUGUGGGGGCGCCGGGCUCCAGGGAGGACAAUGGCCCCUCUUGGCCCUGGGAACCCCGCCCCCAGCUACCCUCUCGGUUCCGCCCUUGCGACAGCCCCACCCUGCGGCUUUGUACGGAGGGUCUUUUUUCCCCACGCCGGUUUAGAGACCAACCCGCACCAUCCCAGCUCCCUGUCUUUUGGCAGACAAGGUGCUCUGAGCUUUUGCCGGUUUUGGGUGGGGGAGGUAGGUAAAGGCUGGCCCAGGCCCUGAACCCACUGAGAAGAAACAAAGCGUCGGAUCAGAGCUCGGAAGGGCGCGAACACAGAGGGGUGGCGGCGGCCGAGAGCGAGCUCCGUGGGUCGCCGGCUUCCGCAGUGGGCGGGGAGGGGGUGGGCACCCGACCUCCUCCACCAAGGGGCUGCCAUGAGCGUCCAAAGGAGCUUUGUGGGCCCGGGCGCGCACAGCACCUGGACGUGCCACUGCCCGGUGCGCAUCCGUGUCAGGAAUUGUCACAAGGACGCACAAGCCAGGCAAGAACCCGGCCAGGGUGGGGGAGGGUGGGCAGCGGCUUCUAUCUGACUCACUCUCUGAGGUCGGAGACUGCGUGCAGGGGGGCCUCGGGGGAGCGACUGGAGAUGCGUUUACUGGUCAGAGAAGGAAGGGAGCAAAGGACUCGCCGGCACGGCACUGACCUCCUCCUGGGCCAGAUAUUACAGUGCCACCACCUUAGAACAAGGGCCUUCUGAUACUUCAGUAACAAAAAUCCUUCAGGAAGGGUCUGACAGUGCACGAUGUACAGACGAACCCCACCCGGCCCCCAAAUCAGCAUUCACUUCACAAAAUGAGCAGCUGCGAACUUGCCUGUGGACGCCUGUGUCCGGUCUGUGUGCACAGGGCUGUGUGUGGGUGGCGUGGACCUGUACCUGUCUCUCUCUUUUCUCUCAAGAAGCUCUCCAGUUUGGAAAGUCGAGAAAUGGAUCUUUUGUUCUCAAGAGAUGCCCCUCCCUGCCCCACAGUGUGCUCGUGUGGCUGCUGCUGGGGUCUAGCUGCCUGGGGUUCCUCCCUGUCCCUGUUCAAGGGAGUCCGGGGUGAGUGUCUGAGGUGCCUCCCUGUCUCCACGAGGGAAGAAGUUUUGCAGCCUCAGGGCAGCCAGCUCCUGCUCCAUCCUCAGAGGGGUCUGGUGCCGGGCUUAAGGCUGACUCACCGUCCGGUCUCCCAGCAGAGGCGGGCCCUGCCAGGAAGCAGCUCCCAGUUCUGAGGCCGGCAGUCAGGGGUGGGGCUGGCCAGGGGGCUGCUGACUGAGCCUGCGUAGGAGUCGGCUGAUGGCCCUGCAGCCUCCAUUGAGCCUGUCCCAGGAAGGGGGCUGACUGAGUGCUCAGUCUCUGCAGAGGAAAUGGAGGUGGUCUCUUCAGCGAGACGCCCAGGUUUCAGCAGAGGGAUGGCCCAGGGGCGCCACUGCUCCCCAGCACCAGGCAGCAUAGUUCAUCCCCAGGUACUCACUCCCAGGGACUUCUCCGCCGGCUGGGCCUCUGCCUCACUGCCAUCUUCAGAAGCCUCACAUCAAGCAUUUCCCAGGACUGGCUGAACACAGACCCUCCACCCCCGACCCCUUCCCCACCUGCCUACUCCCAGAAUGGCAGUGCUGGGCAGACAGCAGACCCAGCCCCCAGCCCACCUGCACUGAGCCCCCUUCCAGGCAUCUCAGAGUGGACAGGGAUGGUCCCAUUCACGGCUCAUCAUGGCUGGAGGGACUCAGGGCCAGGGCCAGCAAAGGGAUGUGUCCCGGCUGAGGUCACAUGUGGUCACAGGGAAGGCUGGGAACCCGCCUCUUCUGCAGCUAGGACAGCGUCAAGAGUGGAGGGGACUGGGGCCCUGCUGCACCUGCUCGUCCUUCCUCUAGGCUGGGGUUUGUCAGCACGGAGAGAAAACCGAGAAGCAGGGUCAGCGCAAGCCUGGUUGGGACCUCCACACUCCCCAGGCAUUUGGGGCCUCUGGGGCUGUGGCUUCCUCACCUGGGGAGGCAGCCACGUUUUCCGGGACUCCUUUCUUCCCUCUCGACUCUCACCCCUGCCCACCUUCCCCUCCCCCAUCCCUCCACCCGCAAACUUCAAGCACUUUCUGGAAGGGGCUAAGGUGGGUGAUGCUGAGUCACAUUUAUUACCAGACUUUCCUGGCCCCAUGCUCACAGGCACUGGUCACUGAGUCAGGCAUUUGCCAGGGCUGUCUGCUUGGGCGACUGCUGCAGGAAAGCAGGCUGAGGCCCCAGUGCCCAGUCUGAGCCUUAGAACCGGCCCUCAGGAGGGCUCAGCCCCAUACCACUAGGGGGGCUCCUGCAAACCUGGUCCCUUGGCCUGAGGCAGGGAUUUCACCUCCUUUUGCAGGAGCCGCUGCAAGGCUGUGGAUGAAGCUUUCUGGUCACAAAGCCCCUUCUCCUGGGGCUGCUGUGGGAGUAGCUCUUGGCACACACUUCCACCCAGAGACUUCACAUCCCAGCUGACGAGGGCACGGUCCUGAGAGCUGGCAGCAAAGAUGGGGUGGGGUGGAUGCUGCUCAGUCAUUGGAGCAGACGGAGUGUCCCAGGAGUGGGCGGAAAAUGUCUCUUUAGGAGCCUGAGGUUGGCCCCUGGUGCCCGGAGCCUGAGGCCCCACAACCUCCCCAUGUCCUCCUCCGUUCCCCACGACUGCUGGUGAGAAGUCCUGCCUGGAGUUUUGCAGGGACCCCUCCCUGGACCCAGAAGGGUCCGCGCUUCAACACUUUCAGAGAUCAUUUAGUCCAUCCUCUUUGACAAACGGGGACCAGGGAGGUAAGGAACUGCCCAGGGUCACACAGGAACCAGACCACACAAUAUCACCACCUCCCUCUGCCCAGCACACUUAAAGCCGCGUGCACCGCGCUCACCAGGAGCAUGUCAGCACCUCCUUGAGCGUCCUGCGGAGCUCCUGGCUGUGGAAGGCGUAGAUGAGGGGGUCGAUGAUGGCAUUGCAGAUGAUGAGGGCGAGAAAGAGGUUGAAGUUCUUGAAGAUGCAGCCGCACGUGGGGUGCUCGGGGCAGAGGACGAUGAGUGUGAGAUGCAGGAAGAAGGGGCCCCAGCAGAGGAAGAAAAUGCCCAGCAGGAUGGUGAGGGUGACAGCGCCUUUAAGGCCAAAGCCCUGGUGGACCGGGCGCUGCCUCUUGUGGAGCCGGGCGAUGCCCUGGGCGUGCUGGCAGGCCCGGGCCAGCAUGUGGACGUACAGCACGGCCAUGAGCACCAGCAUAGCCAGGAAGAAGACCACGAGGCACAGCAGGACGGCCACGUGGUCGUAGUAGGCGAUGAAGAGCGUGCUGAAGACGACACUGGCCACCCAGAUGGCCGCAACGGCUCGCCGCGCCCGCGGCAGGGUCACGAUGCUGUGGUAGCGCAGUGCGUAGAAGAUGGAGAUGUAGCGGUCCACGGCGAUGGCGCCCAGGAAGCAGAGGCUGGACAGCAUGGAGCUGCAGGUGAUCACGUCAAUGACAUUGUCCAGCUGCUGCAGCACCGCAGCCCGGGCCACCAGUGCACCGGCCUCCAGCAGGAGGAUGACGGCCGUCUCCAGCACGUUGCUCCCGCUCACCAGCAGGUCCGACAAGGCCAGGCAGCAGAUGAAGCAGUACAUGGGUGAGUGCAGGUUCCGGUUCUUGGCGAUGGUGGCCACCACCAGCGCGUUCUCCACCAAGCUCACCAGCCCCAGGCUGAGGAAGAGCCCGUCAGAGAUGGACACCUCCAGGCACCGGGCUCCUGUCUGGUUGGCAGCCAGCCCCAGCUGGGGGAUGGCUGUGGGGGUGGAGUUGAGGGAGCCCAGAAGUCUUCUCUGGGAUCCCUGCACAGCCAUAGUCCUGUCCAGGAAGCAGGAAGGAGUCGUUGGAGGCCUCCAGGUCCCCACAGUUCUUCCCCUCCAGGUGUCCUGCUUAGUUCAUGGUGCUGCCAGGGGGCCUUGGGUGUCCCCCAUGCCUGCCUCCUUCCAUCUGGGCACCCCCAGAUCUGCCCUCACACCCUCUCCCUGGCUGGACAGGUCAGCCCAGGCAUGGCCCAGCCAGUCCAGACACCUCCUGGCAUCUACCGCCUGGGCUCAGGGAUUCUCACAACCAAGCCUGGUCCUCAGCUCCCUCCCUGCCUCUUCCCUGGUGGCUGCUGCUCAGGUCCCCAGGACAUUUCGACACCUCUGGACCGUCCUGGCCUCUGUCUCCUGCCUUCCUGGGCCAGGGCUGCGCUGAGGUCCUGGGAAGAAUGGAGCUUUUCUCUGCGUUUUAAAAAGUCGUUCUCAGAGCCCCUCCCACUGAGGGCGGCCACAUGCCGGGGGCGUGAGCACCCACCAUGGCCCGGCCUGCCACCAGGCGGCGUGCAGGACCCAGGGGGUCCCUCACACCGCGGAUCUCCUUUACGUUAAAAAACACCACAGUCUGUCCUGGUCACCAGGGCCCCCACCUGGCCGCCCCUCUAGGAGUCCGGAGCUUCCCCGGGACCUGCCCUCUCCAGAGGCCCCACCCUUCACCCCUCCCCUCGUCAGCAGCUCAGGGAGGACAGGGGUCCCCUCUGCUCUCAGCCAAAGCACGCAUGGAGCAGCAACUCAGCUGUCAACGUUCACGGCAGAUUUGGGGGCUGGACCAGGGAGAACUUUCCAAUAAUUAAAGUUCUGGAAACUGAGUGAGCCCUGCAGGAGUUUGCACAUCGCGCGGGGUGAGGGGGCUUCCGGCCAGGGCAGAGCGUGAAAGCGUCCAAUGCUAGUGAGCCCUGGAGAGGUUGGUGUUUUCAGGCAUCUUGUAGAGCCUGAGGCCACUCUGGCGCCUGCCCCCAAGGGCCCAGCCUCGCCCAGCCAGAGUGGCGACCCCCUCAGCUGCAGCCCUGGGGCUGUGGGGGUGUCGCUUCCUGGGAGCGGACCGGCUGGGGGCACCCUAGUGAGGUCUUCAGGGACCCUCCAGUCAUCUCGUCGCUCAUCCUCACAGGGGCACCCGGGACGCUGCUCCCGCCCUCCCCGGGCGGCGCGCCAUUUCCGCUGCGGAAGGCACCACAGGCCCUGCACCAACAGCCACAUCAAAGGCAGACCUCUCGCCUCCAGCCGUCGCACGUGGUGCUCCGCAGGCCGUUCACAGCAGUCGGGCGUGGCCCCGAAGCCCAGCAGGGACGGUGGAGAGGGGCCCUGGCACCCACUGCAGGCAUCUUCCUGGGUUCACUCCAGGGCGUUCCCAGCACUUCCUUGCUGAAGACUGCGUCUGUGCUGAAGGGUGGAAGCGGGAGGGGGAUGGAAUUACUCGUCCCAUUUACAGCUGCAGGAAAGGAGGCAACGGUGCAGGCACCGCAUCAGGGUUUUCAGUUUUGUGUCUGCGAUGUUCGAGUUAAAAUCCAUCCUGUCUCUCGCCCAACUGCCAAACUCUGACCAUGAAAUGCUCACACCACUCACAAGCCACCUCCAUGUGUGUGAGGACAUUAAUAUUUUUCAUAUUUACUGGUACAGUAAAUACUUGUUACAACCGCAUUUUACAAUUUAUAAAUCUUUAGUUUUGCUUUAAAAUUUUUUAUUAUUGUCAGCCAUGGUGGCUCAGGGCUGUAAUCCCAGCACUUUGGGAGCCCAAGGCGGGUGGAUCACCUGAGGUCAGGAGUUCGAGACCAGCCUGGCCGACAUGGAGAAACCCCGUCUCUACUAAAAAUACCAAAAUCAGCCAGGUGUGGUGGUGGGUGCCUGUAAUCCCAGCUGAGUCAGGAUAAUAGCUUGAACAUGAGAGGCGGAGGUUGCCGUGAGCCGAGAUUGCACCAUUGCACUCCAGCCUGGGCAACAAGAGCAAAACUCUGUCUCAAAAAAAAAAAAAAUUAUUAUUGCCGGGCACAGUGGCUCACCCCUAUAAUCUCAGCACUUUGGGAGGCUGAGGCAGGCGGAUCAUGAGGUCAGGAGUUCAAGACCAGCUUGGGUAAUAUGGUGAAACUCCAUCUCUACUAAAAAUACAAAAAUCAGCCAGGCGUGGUGGCGCACGCCUAUAAUCCCAGCUACUUGGGAGGCUGAGGCAGAAUUGCUUGAACCCAGGAGGCGGAGGUUGCAGUGAGCCGAGAUCACACCACUGCACUCCAGCCUGGGAAACAGAGAUACAGUCUCAAAAAAAAAAAAAUAUAUAUAUAUAUAUAUAUACAUAUAAUUUUUAUGUAUUUAUUUAUUUUGAGACAGUUUCACUCUGUCGCGCAGGCUGGAGUGUAGUGGUGCAUUCUUGGCUCACUGCAACCUCCACCUUCUGGAUUCAAGCAAUACUUAUGCCUCAGCCUCCCAACUAGCUGGGACUACGGCACCCACUACCACACCUGGCUAUUUUUUGUAUUUUUUGUAGAGAUGAGGUUUCACCAUGUUGACCAGGCUGGUCUUGAACUCCUGACCUCAGGUGAUCGGUCCGCCUCAGCCUCCCAAAAUGCUGAGAUUACAGGGAUGAGCCCCCACACCCCAUCUGCUUUAAUUUUUUUUUUUUUUUUUUUGAGACGAAGUCUCACUGUCACCCAGGCUGGAGUGCAGUGGCAUGAUCUUGGCUCACGGUAGCCUCUGCCUACUGGGUUCAAGUAAUUCUCAUACCUCAGCCUCCUGAGUAGCUGGAACUACAGGCGCGUGCCGCCACACCCGGCAAAUUUUUGUAUUUUUUUUAGUAGAGAUGGGGUUUCACCAUGUUGGCCAGGACGGUCUUGAUCUCCUGACCUCAUGAUCCUCCCGCCUCCGCCUCCCACAGUGCUGGGAUUACAGGCGUGAGCCACCGCGCCCGGCCCUAAAAUGUUUUAAUUGAGGUACAACAUACAUGAAAAUGCACCAGUGAUAAAUAUGCAGGUUGACGGAUGACAGACCUGAACCAGCCACAUAAGCAGCACCAGACCAACAGACACAGCGUUCCCACCCGGACGGCUCCAGCGAGCCGCUGCCAGCCCAUCUGGCCCAUCACGUGAAUGGUGUCCCAGUUCACUCUCUCUGGCUGAGAUUCGCCUAUGCCGGUGGCUGUAACCGUCUGCCUCAGACCGUGGUGUCCACGGCGUGAACAGACCACGUCUGGGUGGCUUCAGACUCCCUAUCAACGAUACCGUCUGAUGGACACAGGUGCGUCUGUGGAUUGCCACCCGGGGGACAUGGGCAGGGACCUCUCUUCAGCUUUGGGAGACUUGGUCAAACCAUCUUCAAAUCGGCAGGCCUGUUUCUGUUCACACACGCAGCCCCAGGCUGCUCAGAGGAGAGAGCGCGCCCUGCCCACACCACCACAGGACCUGGUAUCCGGCCACAGCCACAGAGCCUCGGCCUCAGCCCAGCCUUUUGCCUCCCAUGACCUUUGCCCCCUCACGCUGUGCUUCCAGCAUGAGCACAGGGGAGAGAAGGGUCCCAAGGUGUGAGAAGGCCAAGCCUCUGCCUCGGGAAGGAAGACGGCUCCACUGGUGUGAGGGCCGUGGCUGUGUCCCUGCCCCAGGAGCACCCCCGACGUCCACAGCACCUCACAGACCCAGACCCAGAGCCCGCUCACCUCUGGCCAUGAACCAGUGAGCAGCCCCUGCCCCAGAGCACUGUCCCCUCACAUUUCAAGGACGUUCGUGUUUGCAGCUCCACAAUGAGGCCUUUGAGACGGACGGCGGUUAACCCCAGCCUCCACUGCUACCCCCCAGCCCGGGACUUGAAAGGGCAUGAGAACUGGGCAGCCUUUUUCGUGCCAAGAUGCAGCUGGAGGGCAUCGGAAGUGGGGUGACCCUGCCACAGGACUCCCACUGUGGUUCCUCACUGGAUGUGCCUGUCGGGGCUUCGUGGGAAGAUGAGGCACAGCCGAGCUGCAAAAAGUCAACUUUUUGAUGUGUUAUGGUCAUGGGGGAGAUAAAUUAGCCUCGGGAUGAUCUGUGAUUAGAUGACAUCCUACAGCUAAUCAUAUCUCGAUUUUGGUCUCUUAGUGCCCCUGGAAACACUGCAUGCUGAGUGGCCGGAAGACACGUGGGGCUGGCCCAUCCGCUCACCAGGGUCCCCGCCACAGGCAGAGGCACCGUUCCUGCAGAGCACUUUCCAUCCAGGUGUUUCUGGACCAGCGACCCACGAGGAGAAUGAAGACAGACGUCUUCCUGCGUUUAUUCAGUGUCUGGCAUCCAGGGCCUGCAACACACACACAGGCACACACACACACACAAAUGUGCACCCACACACACAGGCACACACACACACAAAUGUGCACCCACACACACAGGCACACACACACAGGCACACACACACAAAUGUGCACCCACACACAGGCACACACACAAAUGUGCACCCACACACACAGGCACACACACACACAAAUGUGCACCCACACACACAGGCACACACACACAAAUGUGCACCCACACACACAGGCACACACACACACAAAUGUGCACCCACACACACAGGCACACACACACACAAAUGUGCACCCCCACACACAGGCACACACACACACAAAUGUGCACCCCCACACACAGGCACACACACACAGGCACACACACAAAUGUGCACCCACACACAGGCACACACACACACACAAAUGUGCCCCACACACACACAGGCACCCACACACACAGGCGCACACACACACAAAUGUGCACCCACACACACAGGCGCACACACAAAUGUGCACCCCCACACACAGGCGCACACACAAAUGUGCACCCCCACACACAGGCACACACACAGAGGCACACACACAAAUGUGCACCCACACACAGGCACACACACACACAAAUGUGCCCCACACACACAGGCACCCACACACACAGGCACACACACAGGCACACACACACACAAAUGUGCACCCACACAGGCGCACACACACACAAAUGUGCACCCACACACACAAAUGUGCACCCACACACACAGGCACACACACACAAAUGUGCACCCACACACACAGGCACACAUGCAUACAAGUGUGCACACAUACAUACGUGCACACACACACACAGGCACACACACACACACAAAUGUGCACCCACACACACAGGCACACACACACAGGCACACAUGCAUACAAAUGUACACACAUACAAAUGUACACACAUACAUACGUGCGCACACACGUUUACCCACACACGCGUGCACAUACAAAUGUUUACCCACACACGUAUGCGCACACACAAUGUUUACCCACACACGUGCACACACGUGCACCCACACCACAUGCGCACACACACAGGCACACACAAAUGCGCACCCACCCACACACGCACACACACACACAUCUGCUCAAUGUGUGCCCGAGGGCUGCGAGAGGUAAAACAUCUCUGUGGCCCAGGGAGUGGCCUGUCCAGCUGCGGCCACAGACAUGGAGGUGGGGGUCACCGCCGGACCAACAGUCCCACCGUGGUGGGCUCCAGUACAGCUCCCCAGGACAGCUGGACCCACAGCUGAUCUCAGCCCUUGGUUCAGGGACCAUUUCCUUUGAACUUGGGGGUGGGGGUGUGGGAGGUGGCAAGCAGGGUUUCUCGUGGGCUCACCGUGGUGCCUGCAUUGAAGGCUUUGGGGGGUUCUGGCUCAGUGGAAAAGGGCCCGGCUGGUGAGCCACGCUGCCUGUGGGCACCCGGGGAGCCACGUGCGCCUCAGCCUCUCGCUGGGCUGAGCAGGGCCAAGGGAGGAAACAGGACAGCAUUCCCCACAAUCAUGGCAGAGGCUACGCCCUCAAAACAGUCUUUCAGAUCUCACGGUCAUUGGAAGUAGGCUCAGCUGCAGGUCAUGACAUAAACCCCAGCACCACUGCCAAAGUGUCAGUGAUCCAGCCACCUCUCAGGACAGCAGGCCUGGGCUCAGCCUCUGCUGCAUUGUCCCUGGAACACCGGCUCUUCUCUGACUCCCAACCGUAGGGCGGCUGCUGCAGCUCCAAACAUCACAUCCCCUAUUUGGGUGGACUCAAGGCAUCUGGAAUGGAAGAGGCAGGGGACCCAGGUCUCCUUGCUAGCCUGUCAUUUUCAGAGAAAAGACCCUGAAGACUCUAGCAGACUCCCGCAUCUCGAUGGCUGAAGCUCACCACGGACCACCCUGGCUGUGGAGGGUGGGGACCUAGAGCAGACUGGGGUUAUCUCCCAACCAUCUUCCCUGGAGAUGAGUGCAGAUCCCCCAUGGAAAAAGGGGUGGGUGGGACACCAGGAGGACCAGCCUGUGCUCCCCACAGGCUCCUGCUGACCACAAACAUCGUUCACUCACUGCAGAGAGGAACGAGGCCGCAGCACCAACUCCCCGCCCCCAUGAUCUCUUCCUGCAGAGCGUGGGGCUAUCACAGCUGGGACCUCAGGGCACCGCUCCUAGAAAUGGCCAGCACAGGGCCAGGGCUGCACCCUCAGGCCCACGUCUGAGAUGGGCACACGUGGCUCAGCCCUCGGGCCAACUCUUGUCAUGGACACUGGGCCCUCGUCGUCCUGGGGAGGGUCCUGCACCCUAAGCUCCCGCCCAGGAAAUGCUGAGCAGAGUAAGGAGACACCAGGAACUGCCAAAAGGAUGAACUCACAGGCCUCGGCGAGCCCCAGGUUAGACGAUUACACAGUGAUGGGCUUUCUGGGAGGUGGGUCCACGGACCAGUACCUAGCUGGGGCUGGAACAUGUUUCCUGCCUCACUGGCCGCCCUAGAGCCUCGGGCAGCCCCUCGUGUCUGCUGCCUCCUAAGGGUAAAAGAUUAGGGCGGUGAGGGGUGCCAGGGGACAGGACCCCUGCUGCAGCCCUAACACCUUGGUGUUCUCGAUCCUUCCAGAACCACGCUGGCUUCUGAUGCUGUCUGGCUGCAGCCUCCGCCCCUCCUGCAGCUGCAGCACCGUGGGGCCGUGGGAUGCACGGGUUCUGUGCACCAUCAGUCAACUGUGCCAGGACCUGCUCCAGCUAAGCCCUCCCCCAAGACUGGGGUCUUGGUCCGAGUGGCCCAUUCACCCUCAGACCGACUAUCCCCUGAUCUUUGCUACAUGGGCCCUCAGAGCUUCCCUGGGCACUUCUCUGCAAAACAUGCUUCUGGGGCUUCGCCUUCAAUUCUGGGCACUGCCCUCAAGUUCUCUAAUAAAAUUAUUUUGGCAGAGCCAGGCGCGGUGGCUCACAGCUGUAACCCCAGCACUGUGGGGGGCCAAGGCGGGCGGAUCAUGAGGUCAAGAGAUUGAGAGCAUCCUGGCCAACAUGGUGGAACCCCGUCUCUACUAAAAAUACAAACAUUAGCCAGGCGUGGUGGCGGGUGCCUGUAGCCCCAGCUACUCGGGAGGCUGAGGCAGGAGAAUGGCGUGAACCCGGGAGGCGGAGCUUGCAGUGAGCCGAGACUGCGCCACUGCACUCCAGCCUGCGCGACACAGUGAGACUCUUGUCUCAAAAAAAAAAAAGAAAAUUAUUUUGUCAGAUUCAACAGAUAGUGGCAUCCAGCCAAAGGACCCCAACAUCUCCACCCCACUUGCUUGGAGGAACAAGACUGAAGGCCGGCUGCCACAUAGGGGCCUCUCUGCUCCAGCCCUGCCCUGAGACCCUCUACCAACAAGGCACGCAGCUCUGUUGACGAACUCCACAGCAAGUUCAAGGAGGACGUGCACCCAGGGCCUUGGCAUUCAGCAGGGACCUGCACUGAAGACCCCGUGGGGCCCCUUCUCCACCCGUGCCCAGAUCCUGGGAGCACAGGAAGCAUGGGGUCUGGGCCCCACCUCACCCACAAGCCACUGGGAGGAGAAUGGACUGAGUGUGAUUCGAAUCCGAGGGCAUGGGACGGCGCUCAGUGCCUGCGAAAGGAGAAGGUGCGGACGGCAGAGCGUGACCCAUUUACAUUUAUAGGAGAAACAGUGGACCAGGGAGCGACACACUCAGCUUCCCUACUUCAGGCAACUGGCCGACUCCGACCAACAGAGAAAUCGGGAACAUCAUCAUACGGCUUUUCGGUCACCUCUGCGGACGCUCAGUCCCACUCCCCCUCCCCCUCAGCGUCGUCCUCGUGCGGCGCCUCCAGGUCGUUGAGGUGGAAGUUGGCCAUCAUGUCGCGCACAGCCAGCAUCAGCCUGUUCAGGCCCUGGUUGCGGUUCAGACCCCCAGCCACUCCUUCCUCGGGCCUCUCCCCCUGCAGCAAGGGGACAUGUCUGAGAAGGGGGCUGUCUGUGCUGGGACUAGGGGCCCGGGGCCCAAGCAGGAGGCACUGUGGAGCCCGAGGUGGCCCUUGCCCCAGCACCGGACCCUGAACCCUCCCCAGGUCCCUGUGAGGAGGAAGCUCUCAAAACCAAAUGCCGUGUCUAGACCAAGCCAGGCACAGAGUGGGAUCAAGCCGGCUGACUCACGGCCCUGCAUCUGCUACCAUCUGGGCAGGCCCCAGUUUCCCCGGCAGAAUGGGCACCCCACUGGCACAAUGCAGCCUUGGUCCUUCCCUGCUCCCUGUGCCGGCUGGCACAGUCCUGGUUCAAGGAGGCUCCAGGCAUUCGCACUGGAAUGGAUAUGCCCGCACCCACUGGGGAGGCAGGGGCUGGGACGAGCUCAACCUACCUCCAUGGUAUAGUUUGGCAACAGUGACCGGAAGAAGAGAGCAAUGGUGUUUCCAUGGCUGAUAGGACUUAGCCUGAAAGAAAGUCAAGAAAAGUCAGAAACGACACUGAACUGAGACUCGUGGGACCCAACCCGGCUCACGGGGCUGCCUGCCAGCUGCCUCCCUCGCAGGGACACGGAGGGGCCGCCAGGGGGCAGAGCAGCAGCAGCUGAGCACAGGCCCUGGAUUCCCCGGGUGGCCCGUGAGGCUUCCUCAUCAGCUUAGGGUGGGGCUGUGGACAGCGGGAACAGGAUGAGGGAGACCAACUCAGCUGAGGCAGGCGUGGCGUCCGGAGCGAGGCUCCCACAGCCAUCCUCGGCCACUGCACAGGUGCCUUGCUUUUCAGAAAAGCUGCAGUUUCAACGUCUCCUUCAGCACCCACUCCUUACGCAAAGGCAGAAGCUUCCAGGGCCUGCGUUAAGCGGAGACCCUCACGGUGCGAAGGGCUACCGGCCCGGCUCUACAGGACGCUGAGCGGCCAGGCCUCAGGAGCUCUAGGGAGGGCGAAAGCCUGGGCUCCACAGCGGAGGGAGGCAGCAAAGAACCGCGAUUCCUCAAUGCUGCAACACCCUGCCGGCAGGGAUAAUCACGACGACCGCUGUGCGGGUGACGGGGCCUGGGUAAGGCAAGUACUUUCCAGCCCAGAAGGAAAAGGUAAAAAGCCUUUCAAUGACCCGGAUUCUGAAAGCCAGACACACCGGCCGCCUGGCAGUUGGCCCUCUUGCGCCGCAGCCCUGCUCUCCCGGUCUGGCCAUGGGGCUUUUGUUCUCUCAAUGUGCCGUGUGCUCUGCUCCUGGCACAGGGCCUCGGCACAUCGUGACUCUGCUGGGGAACACAAGGACCCUCUCCCCUGAGCCUGGUGAGGGCACAUUCAUCCUCUCCGUCUCAGCACAGCCACCAUCCUUCCUCCAAACACCUUACUGGAGGAUUUUUUUUUUUUUUUUUUUUGAGAUGGAGUCACUCUGUCACCCAGGCUGGAGUGCAGUGGCGUGAUCUCAGCUCACGGCAACCCCCUCCUUCCGGGUUCAAGGGAUUCUCCUGCCUCAGCCUCCUGAGUAGCUGGGACUACAGGCACAACCCACCACGCCCAAUUUUUUUUUUUUUUUUUUUUUUUGAGACGGAGUCUUCCUCUGUCGCCAGGAUGGAGUGCAGUGGCACGAUCUCCACUCACUGCAACCUGUGCCUCCCGGGUUCAAACAAUUUUCCUGCCUCAGCCUCCCAAGUAGCUGGGACUACAGGUGUGCGGCACCACGCCCAGCUAAUUUUUUUGUAUUUUAGUAGAGACGGGUUUUCAGCACGUUGGCCAGGCUGGUCUCAAUCUCUUGACCUUGUGAUUUGCCCACCUUGGCCUCUCAAACUGCUGGAAUUACAGGCGUGAGUCACUGCACCCAGCUGGCUAAGUUUUGUAUUUUUAGUUGAGACGGGGUUUGCCAUGUUGGCCAGGCUGGUGCAGUUUUGAUUUUAUGUUUAUUUCUACAUUCUAAAAUUAAUAUGUUUUCCCCACUUCACUGCACACCUGCUUCCACUGUGUCACUCGCACCUGCCACAGAGGCCGACACGCAAGCGCUUGUACAUUCGGUGGAGAUGGGAAAGAACGUGGCCUGCAAACGCAGAGCUGUGACCCCCAAAUAACACUGUUCCUCUCCUCCUCUCCCUUCCUGUGAGGGGAAAGACCCACUUAGCCCUGAGCCCCAUCUCUCAGCAUCUGGGUCUGAAAGAGGCAGCCAGUCCCUGUGAGCCCCAAAGCCCUGACCUCAGAGCUGCAGGAGAGAGCUGGGAGCUGCGAGGUGGGAGCUGGGAGCUGGGAGCUGCGAGGUGGGAGCUGGGAGGUGGAAACUGGGAGGAGGGAGGCGGGAGCUGGGAGCUGGCAGGUGGGAGGCAGGAGCUGGGAGCUGGGAGGCGGGAGCCGGGAGGUGGGAGCUGGGAGGCGGGAGGUGGGAGCUGGGAGGAGGGAGGUGGGAGCUGGGAGGUGGGAGCUGGGAGGUGGGAGGUGGGAGCUGGGAGGUGGGAGCUGGGAGGAGGGAGGCGGGAGCUGGGAGGUGGGAACUGCGAGGAAAGAGGUGGGAACUGGAAGGUGGGAGGAGGGAGCUGGGAGGUGGGAGCUGGAAGGUGGGAGGUGGGAACUGCGAGGAAAGAGGUGGGAGCUGGCAGGUGGGAACUGGGAGGUGGGAACUGCGAGGAAGGAGGUGGGAACUGGAAGGUGGGAGGUGGGAGCUGGGAGGUGGAAACUGGAAGGAGGGAGGUGGGAGCUGGGAGCUGGAAGAUGGGAGCUGGGAGGUGGGAACUGUGAGGAAAGAAGUGGGAACUAGAAGGUGGGAGGAGGAAGCUGGGAGGUGGGAACUGGGAGGAGGGAAGAGGGAGCUGGGAGGUGGGAGCUGGGAGGUGGGAACUGAGAGGAGGGAGGCGGGGUUGGAAGGUGGGAACUUGGAGGAGGGAGGCGGGAGCUGGAAGGUGGGAGCUGGGAGGAGGGAGGCAGGAGGUGGCAGGGGAGGUGAGAGGAGGGAGGCGGGAGCUGGGAGCUGGGAACUGGGAGGAGGGAGGAGACAGGGGCUGUAAGGUGGGAGGCGGGAGCUGGGAGGUAGGAGGUGGGAGCUGGGAACUGGGAGGAGGGAGGCGGUAGCUGGGAGGUGGGAGGUGGGAAUUGGAAGGAGGGAGGAGGGAGGUGGGAGCUGGGAGGUGGGAACUGGGAGGUGGGAGCUGGGAGGUGGGAGGUGGGAGGAGGGAGGUGGGAGCCAGGAGCCGGGAGGAGGGAGGUGGGAGCUGGGAGGUGGGAACUGGAAGGAGGGAGGUACCUCUCUGGCCUGACGUAGGAGUAGAUUGUGUCCGAAGGAGGCAGAGGAUCAAACCCCAUCACAGACUGCGUGGUCACGUCCUUCAGAAAGGGACAUAAAACGAAGAUGCUACAGAUGCUGCCAGGGGGCCUCUACCUCUCCCAGCAGAGUCCUUCUGUCGACUCCAGCAUGGACUGGAUGCAUCUGCUGAGAGAUAGCCACAGAGUCUGACAGAAACGGCUGUGCUUUUUGUACCAACGAGCUUUGGGUGAGGGUGGGACAGUCCUUCUGCCACCAGGACACUCACGGGAGUCGAGAUGAACCUGCACGGCGUCUGCCCUGCACACCAGAGUGUGUGGUGGGGAAGGAAGGGGGUCACGUGCCGCUCAAGCCUGCCAACAUCUUCACCACGUGUCAGAAGCUCCCACUUCAGCAAAUGCAGGCUACAGGGACCCUGAGCUGCCCUCGGGUUGCACAGUGCCACGUGCUGCCACUCUACUGAGGAGAGUCAGAAGCUCACAGCCCCAGACAAAGCCAGCCAUGCCGGUCAUAAGGGCCCGCAGAGCAGCUGAAGUUAAACCAGGAGGCACUAAGCUGUCCCCAGUGGACGGUCCACGGUCCUGCGACCCUCUGACUUGCUGGUUUUCUCACUCGUUCUAUCUUAUCCCUUAACAACAGUACAAACUCCUUAGGUUUUGAGACAGAAACGGCACCUCCAGCACAGGAGGCGUCAGAGCAGGACUACACCCCACGACUACAGAGAAUCCCCCAGCAGCCGCACCACGCGCUCACAAGACCACGGAUGGAGCAGCUCACCACGGUGACGACUCAGCUUGUGCUCUGAGCCCCAAAGGAUUUCUCUCUCAAAACAACAAGCAUCCGAACCCGGGCUGCCAGGAAAGGAGGAGCCCUCUGCACUAGACCCUGCCCCUGCCGUGGCGGGGCUGGGCUGCUGAGGGAGCCCGCACCACGCACGCCUGCAUGUGGACCGCCCGGAGCAGAAGGGACGUGCAUGUGACCGGCUUACACAGAGCUCCCAUUUCAGCCUUUCUCCCUUACCGGGGGCAGGGCAGCGACGGCUUCCUUGAUCUCAGAGAGGAUCACAUGGCGGUGGAUAUUCCUGGGUGCACGCUGGUAGAGCACCUUCCGCCUAGGGCCGGGGAGAAACAAGGCACAGCAGAUAAAGCACAGCAAAUGAAAUGGUAACCGCCAUGGAGCCUCGGCCCCCACCCCCACCCAGCACGAGGCAUCUCGCUGCAUCUCUGGUGGCUGCAAAAACUGUACACUUUACUCUCGAGCAGAGGCACCAUGGCUGGUCCCUGGCCUGCGGCUGGGGAGCCUCUGGGGACCAAUCCCAGCCACAUGGCCAGUGACUCAGCCUCUUCAUCCAAAGAACAAGAACGAUGAGAGCCGUAGCCAGUGGCUUCUUGUGGGAAGUCACUGAGUUCAUCUCCAUGAAGGGACACCUGGGUGUGUCACCAUCGUCACUGCUACGGCUACAGGCACAGGCACUGGUCCCUGCUGGAAAUCGCUCUUGGAGAGCAGUACAGGGAACAAAAUGCUCCUGUCCAUGAGAAUGUCCAGUCCAGUGGGGACAGCAGACACGCGGACGGGCCCAUGACUGCCAGCGGCUGGGGGCACCAGCGCCUCUUGGGCACCCCCGGGCACACCUCAUGUCCGCGGCACACAGACUUCACUGUGGAGAUGCAAAUGGGCACCACUCCCAGGCGGUCCUGAGCCUGGCCACACCACUGCACAGAGCCACGGUGCUGAUGCACAGAACUAGCACAGGGCCAAGGGCGCAGACAAACGAGACAAGAACAGCAAGGGGAUGCCUGUCAGUUGCAGCAUAUUAGGGCAUGAGCCUCCGAAGUGUUCACACACAGGACAGGAGACUCUUUCUCGUCUCUGCCAGAUUUCUUUACUCCCAAGAUGCUGCUGUGAGAGACUCGUCAUCAUCUCACAGCUCAUGUGGAAACACUGCAAGACCCGAAGGCACCACUCCAGCCCGAGGCACCCGGGAACAGCAGCUCGGUACCCUGCGCUGAUCACCACAGCUGCCUCCCAGGAAGCCUCUGGGACACGCCAGGGGCUGUGCGCUGUCUUGUAGGCUCCACACAGGCCCCACAGCAAGGGAGGCCAAGCUGCUCACAGCCCUUCUCGCCUCCCGAAUGCGAGGCCCCCGUGUCUGGGAUGAGGGUCCCUGAGGAGGGGGCGUGGCAGGGCUUGUGUCAACCCCUAGCUCACCGGUUCUCACAGGCUUCCACGGCUGGGUCCCCGGCGUCCACUGCUUGCAGAACCUCGUGGACGUUCUCCUCCAGCCAGCUCAUGGUGGCGGGCUCUUUCCAGAGAAAGUGUGACCUCCCAAGGUACAGGUUCACCAGCUGGCUCAGGGCAGGGGGCUGGCUGGGGGAGAGCAAGGGCUCUGAGCAGAACCCCUCUUCAGACCACAGCCUGCCUCGAGGCUGGCAGAGCCCCAUGGAUGGGCAGACGGGGGGUCCAGGGAGUGCCCUGUGGCCUGGAGUGAAAGGAGGCCCCUGGGCUGCUGGCCUGAGGGCGUGGGGCUGGGGCACACAGGUAUGUGCCGUGAGCCUGUUGGGCAGGUUAUGUUCUUUAGGAAGCAGGACUGACGUCACAGAAAUGUGAAAAUGCACCCAGGGCGGGUCCAUCUGCGUGCACACAGGGCGAGCCCUGGAGGGCCAGGGGAUGACCCCAAGGCGUGCACUUUCUCCUGUGUUUGCUCCCUCUUUGUUUAUUUUGUUUUUUGAGACGGGGUCUCACCAUCACCCAGGCUGGAGUGCAGCAGCACAAACACAGCUCACUGUACCUUUGACCUCCCAGGCACAAGCCGGCCUCCCAAAAAGCUGAGAUUACAGGCAUGUGCCGCCACGCCUGGCACCCUCUUUAUAUGAGCCUCGUUUUUAAGCUGGAGGCUGCUCAGCUGUCCCACCUGGACUUUUCCACACAGAUGAGGGCUCCAGAGCCGUCCCAUGUCAAAUGACAGUCCCCGAGGCCGCCACCACAGCCCCUCCUGCUGCUGGAAGCAGGUCCCUCAGGGCCUCUCAGGAUGAGUGAAAAUGGCUCCCAGGCUCCGAACCCACAGGCACCCACAGAUGGGCACCACCAGCCACUCUUUACCUUAUUUCAGCAUUGGGUCCAAAGAAGCGGUGACUGGAAACGCUGGCGUCGGGCCGCACACUGCAAGACUCGAGCAGGGGCAGGAGGACUGCAGGGGAAGCGGAGGCUCUGUGGGGGCCCUCAGCACACACCCCAGCCACUCCUAGCCCCCAAGGCAGUAAGGGACACAGCGAGGUCCUUGUCACAGACACAGCUGUUCUAAGGUGGAGAGUCUGCAGGGCCAGCGGCUUGCUUCCGGGUGGUAUUCUGAGUUGCUGCUGCUGGCGUGCCCAGGGUCUGAGGCUGGGGGUCUCCUUCACACCAGCCCCAAGGAGGCUGCCAGGGCCCCCAUUUGCAUCCAAGGGAAGACUCACCCACCACCCUCCACACACAUGGGGUUGGGUUUUUUUUUGUUUUUCUGAGACAGGGUCUCACUCUGUUGCUCAGGCUGGAGUGCGUUGGCGAAAUCUCGGCUCACUGCAACCUCCACCUCCCAGGCUCAAGCGAUUCUCCUGCCUCAGCCUCCCGAGUAGCUGGGAUCACAGGCGCACACUACCACGCCCCGGUUAAUUUUUGUAUGUUUAGUAGAGACAGGGUUUCACCAUGCUGGCCAGGCUGGUCUUGAACUCUUGACCUCAGGUGAUCCACCUGCCUCAGCCUCCGAAAGUGCUGGGAUUACAGGCGUCCGCCACCACACCCGGCUAAUUUUUAUAUUUUUGGUAGAGAAAGGGUUUCACCGUGUUGACCAGGCUGGUCUCGAACUCCUAUGCUCAAGCGAUCCUCCUGCCUCGGCCUCCCAAAGUGCUGGGAUUACAGGCGUGAGCCACCGUGCCCGGCCGGUUGGAUGUUUUAAUCACAAAGACUGGACCCCAUGGCAGGCUGGUGGGAGCGGAGGCCACCUGUGCCCAGUGGAAGAGCCAGCACUGCAGGUUGAGGGCAGAGGCCGCCAUGUAGGGGAACGGGCCCCGAGGGCAGAGCCUGCAGUGAUCUCCAGUGUUCUGGGGUAAGUGGCAGCGGCUUCUUGGCAGCCCACCUGCCUUCAAGGGAGGUGCUGACGCUACAGCCUGUGACACAGCAGCACAGCUCUGCCACAAAGGACAGGGCCUCCCAGCCGCGUUUCCAGACACGGCUGCACUGGUGGAGCAUAUGGCCAGCUGCAUGCAGCCCCAGAGGAGGACAAAGGUGCUUCUUAGACACAGGGGACGAAACUUUUGGGGUCAGCGAGCAGACUGAGGCCUGGCCAGGCCCCUCUGGGGGGCACGUUUCUGCCUGUGCUAGAAGCUGCCCAACCCCACGCCGUGGGCCUCCUCGGGGCCCAGACAGAGCCCUGGAAACCCACAGAACCGAGAAAGGGAUGCUGCUUCCAGGACAUCCUAAUAGGCGAUGAGUGGUCACGUAAUGUGUGUAUACUAGCUGCACGCAAAUAACCCUCACCCCUCACCGCCCCUCGGAGGAGGCCCGUCUUAAGGAGGGAUUUCACCCUCACCCCUCACAGCCCCUCGGAGGAGGCCCGUCUUUUUUUUUUUUUCUUUUUUUUUGAGACGGAGUCUCGCUAUGUUGCCCAGGCUGGAGUGCAGUGGCGCGAUCUCGGCUCACUGCAAGCUCUGCCUCCUGGGUUCAUGCCAUUCUCCUGCCUCAGCCUCCCAAGUAGCUGGGACUACAGGUGCCGGCCAACACGCCCGGCUAAUUUUUUGUAUUUUUAGUAGAGACGUGGUUUCACCGUGUUAGUCAGGAUGGUCUCGAUCUCCUGACCUCGUGAUCCGCCCACCUCGGCCUCCCAAAGUGCUAGGAUUACAGGCGUGAGCCACCGCGCCCGGCCGGAGGCCCGUCUUAAGGAGGGAUUUCACCCUCACCCCUCACAGCCCCUCGGAGGAGGCCCAUCUUAAGGAGGGAUUUCACCCUCACCCCUCACAGCCCCUCGGAGGAGGCCCGUCUUAAGGAGGGAUUUCACCCUCACCCCUCACAGCCCCUCGGAGGAGGCCCGUCUUUUUUUUUUUUUUCUUUUUUUUUGAGACGGAGUCUCACUAUGUUGCCCAGGCUGGAGUGCAGUGGCGCGAUCUCGGCUCACUGCAAGCUCUGCCUCCUGGGUUCAUGCCAUUCUCCUGCCUCAGCCUCCCAAGUAGCUGGGACUACAGGUGCCCGCCAACACGCCCGGCUAAUUUUUUGUAUUUUUAGUAGAGACGUGGUUUCACCGUGUUAGUCAGGAUGGUCUCGAUCUCCUGACCUCGUGAUCCGCCCACCUCGGCCUCCCAAAGUGCUAGGAUUACAGGCGUGAGCCACCGCGCCCGGCCGGAGGCCCGUCUUAAGGAGGGAUUUCACCCUCACCCCUCACAGCCCCUCGGAGGAGGCCCAUCUUAAGGAGGGAUUUCACCCUCACCCCUCACAGCCCCUCGGAGGAGGCCCGUCUUAAGGAGGGAUUUCACCCUCACCCCUCACAGCCCCUCGGAGGAGGCCCGUCUUUUUUUUUUUUUUCUUUUUUUUUGAGACGGAGUCUCACUAUGUUGCCCAGGCUGGAGUGCAGUGGCGCGAUCUCGGCUCACUGCAAGCUCUGCCUCCUGGGUUCAUGCCAUUCUCCUGCCUCAGCCUCCCAAGUAGCUGGGACUACAGGUGCCCGCCAACACGCCCGGCUAAUUUUUUGUAUUUUUAGUAGAGACGUGGUUUCACCGUGUUAGUCAGGAUGGUCUCGAUCUCCUGACCUCGUGAUCCGCCCACCUCGGCCUCCCAAAGUGCUAGGAUUACAGGCGUGAGCCACCGCGCCCGGCCGGAGGCCCGUCUUAAGGAGGGAUUUCACCCUCACCCCUCACAGCCCCUCAGAGGAGGCUCGUCUUAAGGAGGGAUUUCACCCUCACCCCUCACAGCUCCUCGGAGGAGGCCCAUCUUAAAGAGGGAUUUCACACAUGCUGUCAGGCAGGGUCAGCCCCGAGGUCUGACCAGGUGGCAGCCUCACUGUGCCCGCCACAUGUGCGUGGAUCGAAGCUACCCAGAUGCAGUCAGGGGUCACGGCUGUGCAGGCUGAGUCCAUCUGGGCGGCACAGGCCUCCAUUCUGCAUCCCAGCAUGGUGCAGAGCACAACCCUCUCGGCCACACCUCGGCGCUGCCGAGACCUUCCCCUGCUUUGCUCUCCUCCCCAGCACUGGUACAAUCCAAUGCCCCGCACCUCCCAGCCAGUUCUGUCUCUGCACUCUAGAACACAGGCCCCACGGGGGUCGGGAUGCCUGCCACCUCCUCGUGCCUGGCUUGGCACGCAGCGGGUUCCGAGAUGAGCCGACCCUCUUUCAGGUUUGGUAGGGCAGGUUUGCAGGCCCUACCAGAGAAUGCAUGUUUCUACAAGUGUGGGGAAGGACUGGGACCUGGCCUCCACCACCAGGAAGAGCAGCCCCCACGGCUGACAGGACACACCCCUACCCCAGGCGAGACACAGCGCUCACUCACCUCCAGGGAACAUGGUGAGCGCCUGCUGUAUCAGGAGAGAGGCCUUCUGCCUGGCAGAGCUCUGCUCACACUCAGGGAGGUCUGUCUGCUGGCUCAGCAGGAAAUACGCCAGUGGAACAGAGAAGGCAAAAUUAGGGAGCUGGGACAGGUUCCGAUGAGCCUACGAGGGACGAAGAAACAGAGCGUGGAGCCUUAAGUCAUAAAGACAAAAUAUGUGAGUUUGCAGACGCUCUGACAUCACCAGUGAGCCCUACCCCGAGCAGGUAUAUUCUGCAGGCAACGCAAGGGCCUCUUCCUAACUCAGCAUAAAGAUAACUUAAAACGUCCACCUGGGGGGCUUUCCGCAUGCAGAAGAUACAGAGGACGUGGGAGGGCCUGAGAAGUAGACUGAGCCGGAGCGAGGACACCGUGGGGAGUGAGGGUCCCACCUGCCGCCCAGGCUCCUCUCUGAAGCUGAGCAGUUGGUGCUCUCAAUGUGGAAAAUUUACAGACGAGAGCAGCCCACCCCCGCGCGAGUCUGUGAGAGCAGCCCACUGCCGCGCGAGUUUCCGAGAGCAGCCCGCCACGCGAGUUUCCGAGCAGUCUACCACCGUGCCAGUUUCUCUUGCCUUUCUCAGCCUAUGUCACAUAUUGUAGACAUGUGACUCACUGCAUUUUUUUCUAUCAAAAUGGGAUCACAGACUCACAGUUUUGUGACCUUAAACACCAUCAUCAACAUUCUUCUGCAGCCCCAUUUUGGGGGACUCCCUGAGGUUUCCCUGCACCUACAUUUUUGUGAGCUCCAGGAAUUUCUAUAAACCACAUUCCUGGGGGUGAGACUUCCUGGCCAACUAUGCCAAAUGCUUAAAAAUUCAAAAUAAUUUACCCACUUUCAUUAUCCAUGAACAUGUGCUAUGAAAAAAAUUCAACACAGAAGCAGAGAAAGUCAAGAGCUGUCGCCUUCUCCCCAGCCCCAGGCCCUGCUGGAGGUUAGCGUUACAAAGCCCGUGUCCUUCCAGAUAAGUGCUGCCCCAUAGGAACAUAAUGGGAGCCCAGGUGUCAAUUUAAAUUUUCUUUUUUUUUUUUUGAGACGGAGUUUCACUCUGGUUGCCCAGACUGGAGUGCAAUGGCGCGAUCUCGGCUCACCGCAACCUCCACCUCCCAGGUUCAAGCGAUUCUCCUGCCUCAGCCUCCCGAGUAGCUGGGAUUACAGGCAUGCACCACCACGCCCAGCUAAUUUUGUAUUUUUAGUAGAGACAGGGUUUCUCCAUGUUGAGGCUGGUAUCAAACUCCUGACCUCAGGUGAUCCGCCCGCCUCGGCCUCCCAAAGUGCUGGGAUUACAGGCGUGAGCCACCAUGCCCGGCCCAAUUUAAAUUUUCUGGGAGCUGCAUUAAAGACAAAACAGGUGAGAUUAAUACGUUAUAUCUAACCCAAUACACCGAAAUUAUCAUUCCAACACGUGUCUGUGUUAGAGUUACUGGGGACAGAGCUCAAGUCUCUCCUGCUGUACUCACACUCUUCCCAUGGAACAGGACAGACGUGCUGGGGGUCCCUGUGUCAGCCCCACGCAACCAACCCUCCUUCUACCUCCCGGCUGCAUCUUCCUGAACUGCCCAUGAGGAGCUCGGGAGUUGUCGGUUUUUCAUCAUUACCAGCAUCACAGUCCUUGCAGGCACACGUGUGCAUGUGUACACACGUUUGAGCAUGUGUACACACGUAUGAGGAUUCUGACAUAAGGCUGCUGUACUGUCCCUAGGAAAACCACAUUCCACUCCGUAGAGGCGGCAAGGGAGACAAACAAGGCAGGAGGACGUGGUUCUGCCCUCAGACGAUUAUCGUUUCAUCCCCAAACGUCCCCUGAGCGCACAGAUACUGAACCAAGAAAACAGAAGGAGAAGCAGGUGUCCGUCCCUCCACGGGGCCUCACCAGGCUCGCACCCACCUCCCACUCCUGGAAGAGGCGGAUCAGGUACUCGUAGUUCCGGGCCCGCAAGGCCAGGUGGUCGAUGAGCAGCAGCAUGCAGAGGGGGUCCUCAUCCGGCUCGAGACUUCCGGAGGCAGCACAGAGAGCAGAGCAAAGGGGAACAGGGGCAUCGUCAGGCUGAGAGUGGGCCUGCAGCCAGGACAGGGAGCGUGGACGGGCUUGGCCCUGAGCAGACACUCACCUCAGGAUGAGCUUGCAGUACUCCAGCGCCGUGCGCGGGCAGCCUCGCUUCUCCAGGAAGCUCAUCUGCUUGUAGAGGGCCAGG
rnacentral:lncRNA from 1 species